rnacentral:rRNA from 1 species
CCUACGGGAGGCAGCAGUGGGGGAUAUUGCACAAUGGGGGAAACCCUGAUGCAGCGACGCCGCGUGGGUGAAGAAGCGCCUCGGCGCGUAAAGCCCUGUCAGCAGGGAAGAAAAUGACGGUACCUGAAGAAGAAGCCCCGGCUAACUACGUGCCAGCAGCCGCGGUAAUACGUAGGGGGCAAGCGUUAUCCGGAUUUACUGGGUGUAAAGGGAGCGUAGACGGAGAAGCGAGUCUGAAGUGAAAGCCCGUGGCUUAACCACGGGACUGCUUUGGAAACUGUUUGACUAGAGUGCUGGAGAGGGAA